rnacentral:rRNA from 1 species
UACGUAGGGUGCAAGCGUUGUCCGGAAUUAUUGGGCGUAAAGAGCUCGUAGGCGGUUUGUCGCGUCUGCUGUGAAAACUCGGGGCUUAACUCCGGGCCUGCAGUGGGUACGGGCAGACUAGAGUGCGGUAGGGGAGACUGGAAUUCCUGGUGUAGCGGUGAAAUGCGUAGAGAUCCGGAGGAACACCAGUGGCGAAAGCGGCCACCUGGACUGUACCUGACGCUGAAACGCGAAAGCUAGGGGAGCGAACGGG